rnacentral:rRNA from 1 species
GGGUGCGAUCAUACCAGCACUAAUGCACCGGAUCCCAUCAGAACUCCGCAGUUAAGCGUGCUUGGGCAAAACAAUUUUGGACAGCAGCAG